rnacentral:tRNA from 1 species
GUGCUUGUGGCUCAGUGGCUAGGGCAUUGGCCCCAUAUGCCAAAGGUGGUGGGUUUAAACCCCCAAACUGCA